rnacentral:rRNA from 1 species
GACGAACGCUGGCGGCGUGCCUAAUACAUGCAAGUCGAACGCUGAAGGAGGAGCUUGCUUCUCUGGAUGAGUUGCGAACGGGUGAGUAACGCGUAGGUAACCUGCCUGGUAGCGGGGGAUAACUAUUGGAAACGAUAGCUAAUACCGCAUAAGAGUAGAUGUUGCAUGACAUUUGCUUAAAAGGUGCAAUUGCAUCACUACCAGAUGGACCUGCGUUGUAUUAGCUAGUUGGUGAGGUAACGGCUCACCAAGGCAACGAUACAUAGCCGGCCUGAGAGGGUGGUCGGCCACACUGGGACUGGGACACGGCCCAGACUCCUACGGGAGGCAGCAGUAGGGAAUCUUCGGCAAUGGACGGAAGUCUGACCGAGCAACGCCGCGUGAGGGAAGAAGGUUUUCGGGUCGUAAAGCUCUGUUGUAAGAGAAGAACGGGUGUGAGGGUGGAAAGUUCACACUGUGACGGUAUCUUACCAGAAAGGGACGGCUAACUACGUG